rnacentral:misc_RNA from 1 species
AUUUGAGAAGUCAUCAUAUCUUGGCGUACCAUUGCUGCACCUUCCACCUUUCAUUGAUAACACUACGAAUAAUGCUAUAAACAAGGGUGGAAGUUUCAAAAGGCCAACAAAGGUUGGUACUGUUUUGGUAUUCAUGGCUUUGCUACUGGCUUUCCUAGUUUGUGGACUUAUGUCACUUGUUGUCUGCCUCGUUCUAAAAUCUCCGAUAGAUACACCAGGAUACCUACUGGAGGACUCAAAGGGCCGACAUGAUCUUGCAUCGAGUUCAGGUGCAUCCUCCCCAUGGUUGUCUAAUGAUGUUAAGGUUAUCCGUUUGGACAGAACAAGCUUCACACAUUCUGACAUAUUGAAGGCCACAG